rnacentral:tRNA from 1 species
UGUCCUAUGGUGUAAUGGUAGCACAACAGGUUUUGGUUCUGUUUGUAGUGGUUCGAAUCCGCUUAGGACAACUA